GAUGAACGCUGGCGGCGUGCUUAACACAUGCAAGUCGAACGAAGCACUCUAUUUGAUUUUCUUCGGAAAUGAAGAUUUUGUGACUGAGUGGCGGACGGGUGAGUAACGCGUGGGUAACCUGCCUCAUACAGGGGGAUAACAGUUGGAAACGACUGCUAAUACCGCAUAAGCGCACAGGAUCGCAUGAUCCGGUGUGAAAAACUCCGGUGGUAUGGGAUGGACCCGCGUCUGAUUAGCCAGUUGGCAGGGUAACGGCCUACCAAAGCGACGAUCAGUAGCCGACCUGAGAGGGUGACCGGCCACAUUGGGACUGAGACACGGCCCAAACUCCUACGGGAGGCAGCAGUGGGGAAUAUUGCACAAUGGGGGAAACCCUGAUGCAGCGACGCCGCGUGAGCGAAGAAGUAUUUCGGUAUGUAAAGCUCUAUCAGCAGGGAAGAAGAAUGACGGUACCUGACUAAGAAGCACCGGCUAAAUACGUGCCAGCAGCCGCGGUAAUACGUAUGGUGCAAGCGUUAUCCGGAUUUACUGGGUGUAAAGGGAGCGCAGGCGGUGCGGCAAGUCUGAUGUGAAAGCCCGGGGCUCAACCCCGGUACUGCAUUGGAAACUGUCGUACUAGAGUGUCGGAGGGGUAAGUGGAAUUCCUAGUGUAGCGGUGAAAUGCGUAGAUAUUAGGAGGAACACCAGUGGCGA
rnacentral:rRNA from 1 species